rnacentral:rRNA from 1 species
AACCAAGAGAUCGAGUUAUAAUUCACGGUAAAAAGACAGUUAGAUAAAAAAUAGUUUGUUAAUUAUUUAUAAAGAGGUAGAAUUCGAAUAUAAAUAAAUAAAUUAAUUAUAACUAAUGUAUUGAAGCUGUGACAACCUUGAGGGAAACUAGGAUUAGAUACCCUAUUAUUCAUGGUUAUAAAUAAGAUUAAAUCUACCAGAGUACUAAGAAUUAAAAAUAAAUUUAAAACUCAAAGAACUUGGCGGUGUUUUAGACCACUUAGGGGAACCUGUCUUAUAAUCGACAAUCCACGUUAGACCUAACCUUUUUUUGCAUUCAGUUUGUAUACCGUCGUCGUCAGGUAACUUUUAAGAUAAAAGAAGUUAGCAAUAAGAAUUCCUAAGUUAAAACGUCAGAUCAAGGUGCAGCCUAUAAAAAGGUAUAGAUGGGUUACAAUUAUAUAUUCAUAAUUACGGAUGAUUAUGUAAACAACUAAUUAAGUGAAGGAGGACUUAAAAGUAAAAUAAAUUAUAUAAAUAUUUUGAAUUAGGCUCUGAAACGCGC